GCACAUUCAAGUUGUUGCAAUCUAAUUUACAUUAACAUAGAACAGAAUUAGCUUUUCCCAAGUGAGCAAAAUUUUCAUCGCGUGCAAGAGGCGGACACGCCAUACGAACAAACGGACAGCGAAACUUCCAGCUCGCAGCUAGGUUUAAAACUGAAAUUCAACAGGUGGACCAUGCAAAUAUUUGUCGGAAACGAGGCAUUCAUAUAAUAGCACUCAUCAAUAGUGUUGCUCCAGGCAUUAUCAUCUACGCACAGAAAAAAGAGAUUCCUUCAUCGUGGAGAAAAUUGACAGCUCCGAAACGUCUUCUUUUGUCGAUAACAUCCAGAUCGAUGAUGAUUAGAAUUUCUAUGUCAUCGGACGAAACUGUAAGGGCAAGCAUCCUGGACAUGUGGAAGGAAGCGUAGUUAAAAAGUUGAGCCGACAUCCGGCGAACGCUUUCAAGAUCAAAGAAUGGAUCUAAAAAGGAUUAAGCGUCCUAAGACUCCUUGCCUCGAAGUGAAGCUGACUCAUAAGAAUCUUCGCUUCCAAAUCUGGUCAGUCAAACUGUUUUCGUCCAAUGAAUUUUAAUUUAGUCUCAUAGUCUUCCAUCAUCUAGCUUCAUAACCGCUGAGUUAUAAGAAAAGAGGAUACGUAACGAUAAUGAGAAUGAUACUACUUAACGGUUUACCGUGGUGUAAAAAUUUGACAUUCCGCGGAUUUACGAUUGCUGCCCCGAGGACUAAAUUAUGGCGCCUCGGAUCCCGCACCGCAUUUGCAAACCCGUCGUACCGCACGUCGUACGACCGGCAGGUUUUGCACGUUACACUUUAUAUCCUGAGUGCAUGCCACGACAGGUACUUACACUGUCAGCGUAAGGUUACAACGAAAAUAACGAAAGAACAUACAACGGGGUUACGGCCCUCUUAACAAUUAGCACGUACCGUUGAUCGCGGAACACAGUCUCCCAUAAAUAUCCGUGAAAACGUUCCCGGUAAUGAGACGAACGUCGUUUCGGAAUUCGUUGUGAACCUGAUUCGGGAUUCACGUUCAUCUGUUUAAACCGAAAAAAGAAAAGAAUGUGUAUAACCAAGCGUUGUCCUUUUCGCUUUAUUAACACUAAAUAUCAGUAAUCUGAUGUUAAGUCUGGAGAAACCGGAGAAACGUUACCUGUAGUCGAAAUAAUGGAACUUCUAAUGAAUUUUAAUUUCAACCGACCUGGAGUCUCUUCUCCGGACUGGAGAACACACUGACGCCAGUAAAUCGCACGCUUUAACGGGCAAAUAUGUCGGUGAAGCUGAAGGAAACGAGUAACGCACAAGCAUCGUCGAUUACGCAGAACUUUCGAGGCUUCUUCUCUUCUUCAACAAAUCACUUUUUGCCUGUACAAAGUGCACGUAUAGUUAGAGUCGUUGGUUCGAAAGGGAGGCGGCGACGUUCCUUUUUCGACAGGGAAUCGUCGAUAUUUCGCCGCACUAAACCGCGACCAGCCACGUCCUUUUUUUCUUUACAACCAUCCGGCUCUCUACGUCGAAGCAACAUUUACGACGCGUUCUUUUUGUUCUCGGCGACGAUACAGCUCGACGCGACGAAGAGGCACCGCUAUACCCUUUCGACUCGUGCGUUCAAAGCGCCUCCUCGAGAGCCUUUGUCCUGCUCAUGCGGCCAUUUUCUUUCUCUUCGCAUUCUUUUCAGUGAAUACCUACCCAGCGUUCAAGUAGACGCGCGUUCGGUGUACGAAGUGGAGAACGAUACACGAAGACGACGAAGAAAAAGGGACGGAUGAUACCUACAGGGUGGAGGAAGAAAGGCGGGAAGGAAGGAACGAUAGGCACAAGGGGUGGCGCGGGAGGCGAAGGAAGGCGAAGAAAGAACGAAGCGGAGGAGGAGGAAGAACGCGAGAAAGAAGCUAAAGUGAAACGAGCAGAAAAGACACACGAGCGAUGAGUCAUCGUAAAAAGAGGAAAGCUGGUGGUCGACUACUCUGAUUCGAACGAUCGUGUCUCGAGAUUUUCUGCUACUUUUUGCCUUGAACGCAUAAUACCGUCUCUAUCGUCAUUUUAAUACACGCAAUACACGCAAUACCAACAACCAACGGAACUGUCGACGGCUGAUAACGCGGAAAACGAAAGACUAAAAAGCCGAUGGCUAUAGUCGAAUGACAAGUACGAUCGAGCUCUCUGAUUGACGAUCGAUUGCUACUUCGAUCUCCACGGCCAAUAACUGCUGCUUCGUAUUAGAAGCGGUCUACACAGUCAUCGAUUUUUAUACACAUGUCUCAUCUUUACGGGAUUAUCGAGAUUACCAGAUGGAUUAUCCCGCACGACAACUCUUUCUCGCGGAAUGUAGGCUACGGAAUUCUUUACGUGCGAAAACACGCAUCUGACGAUUCUUCGGCUACCGUUAAAGACGUAUCAGCAAGGAUGCUGGUCAUUAUCGCCGUGAAUGGGAUCAGUUAGCGAUU